CUAAGUCCUGAGUAUGUUACAGUCUUUUGAAUUAGAAAUUAUAUUUACCAAAUUAUUUUCUAAAUGUAUUUAACUGUUUAGCAGGGAGAAUAAGGAAGAGUAAUCGCCCACCAAGGCUGAUGAUGCUGGAGGGACUAGAUUAGUCUGAGCUCCUUUUCCUCUUAGAUCAGCAUAUUCUGAGAUUAUAAACCUCAGACGCAAUUGUGCCAAGAUUCCAACUCUUCCUUCCCUGUGAUGUUGCCCGUGAUGUUCUGUGCCUGGGUAUCUGCUGAUAUGCUUCAAGUGACAGUAGAAUUCAAACCAAAAAUAUGAAUACAAUGUCCCACCUGAUUUUAAAGGAUUGGGUUUAGAGUGUGCAUCAGGAAAUAUUAAUAUACACGUGCUUUGUGUGAAUGUCUUGUGGGGGUGUUAUUAGCUUGUUUUGGGGGCUUGUUUUUGAUUUUUGACUAGUGCCAAAGUAGUGUCUUCUCUCUACAUUUUCUACCUAACAUUUUCUAGCUUGUUCUAAUAUAUCAAGGGAAGAAGUACCAAAGUUCACGUAGGAACUAAUGCCAGCACAGAUCAUUGAUUUUCAGACACAUAGAUGUGUGAAAAUAACAUUGUUUGACUUCAUUGUUUAGCCGAGUUUCUUUUUUUAUCUCCUUGUAUAAUUAUAUUUAAACAUUUU
rnacentral:lncRNA from 1 species